AUCAUCCGGUGUUCUCACCGGUGCACUUCGCUAGGUCGAGGCCAGCAUCGGUUUCCGUAGGGGGAUAAAGGCCUUGGGAAUGUAGCUUCUUUCGGGGAGUGUUAUAGCCCUCGGUGCAAUGCCGCCUACCUGGACCGAGGACCGCGCUUCGGCUAGGAUGCUGGCGUAAUGGUUGUAAGCGA
rnacentral:rRNA from 1 species